AUUGAACGCUGGCGGCAGGCCUAACACAUGCAAGUCGGGCGAGUGGCGGACGGGUGAGUAAUGUAUGGGGAACUGCCUGAUGGAGGGGGAUAACUACUGGAAACGGUAGCUAAUACCGCAUACCAUCAGAUGAACCCAUAUGGGAUUAGCUUGUAGGUGCGGUAACGGCUUACCUAGGCGACGAUCCCUAGCUGGUCUGAGAGGAUGACCAGCCACACUGGGACUGAGACACGGCCCAGACUCCUACGGGAGGCAGCAGUGGGGAAUAUUGCACAAUGGGCGCAAGCCUGAUGCAGCCAUGCCGCGUGUAUGAAGAAGGCCUUCGGGUUGUAAAGUACUUUCAGUGGGGAGGCGUUACCGACAGAAGAAGCACCGGCUAACUCCGUGCCAGCAGCCGCGGUAAUUC
rnacentral:rRNA from 1 species